CCGCGUCGUACAGCAGCCCGCGGGCCCGCCGCAGCAGCGGCCGCACGCAGCCGUCCACCUCUCCGCUCAGCGCCAAGGAACUGGCUCCUCCUGGUUUGUGCCUGUGGUAAGAAGCUCAGGGACCAUCCUGACAUCAGUGUGACUGUGAUUUUGCCAGGCUCACACACUGCAAGGCUGUCAUCACCUGAAGCCUCUGCUCCUGGAAACAGAAUUCUCUAUUUGAGAUGAAUAAUACGUUGAAUAUGGUAUGUGGGCUCUGUAGACUCGGAAAAUACAACAUGAACAAAUACUCUGCUCUGGCAAAGUGGUGUAACAGUGCUACUGAGGAUUUAGAAGCACCUCCUCUACCACAGAGCCUUGUCCAGCAACAUCCCCCCUAGAUGGAGCUCUGCAAAAACAUUUGAAGGCAGGAAAGCAGAAGCCUCCUGUUGCCCUGCAGCCCUGCCCCGGUCAUCAGAACAGUGCUGGGUUUGGCCUCUGUGAUGGGGUGGAUGGAGCUGAUGCCGUGGUCAGGAGCUCUGCUGGCCCCUUGCCGUUCCCCCUGGGCCCUGUGCAGACCGCUCAGCCUGGACCGUUAGUGAACGGAUGGUUGAUCACUAGAUGGAAACUGAGCUUGGAUGUAAAAUCUGGCAUUCCACAGGCUCCUGACCAGAGGGGACAGCUCUGCUUAUCAACUCUGACCUCCUGCCAAAGCUCUGCCAGAGCAGGGCAAGCAGCUGCCCAGGAGGAUCUGCAGCAGGAAGAGGAGUGGGUGGUCCUCUGAGUGCACCCUAGAUAUUCAAAAGCCCUAUAGAUGCAAUGAGCAAUGCGAUGGGGAUGUCCCACCUGAUGAUCCUUUUGCUAUCAGCCAGCAGAUCUUAGACUGUAAGUAGGAAAAAAGUGUAAAUGAUUGGAAAAAAAAUCUGCCUGUGUCACUGCAUGAAAGGGAGAUGAAGAGAGAUGAAGACAGCGUCAGCGCAGCUGAUAAGGCAGGGGAAGAAUGCAGGAGAGAAGCUGAGUAAAGCAAGAGGGAUGGGGCCCCGGCACCAAGGCAGCACAUGUUCAUGCGGCAGAGGAAAGUACAUGUGGCAACUACGUGGUCAUUGCUGGCUGCACAGGCAGACAUUGCAGAAGGCUGGGCAGUUUCGCAGGAAGGUUGGCAGUGAUGUGUACAGGGUGGAGGCUGAGGGCAGAGCUGGAAGCUGGGAGCAAUGCUGUGGGAAAGGUGGCUGCCUGAGGAGUUUGCCAGGGCUCUCCAGUACCGGACCCCCCUGGCAAUGAGGAGCAGUGGGAGGACAGAGACCACUGCAGGGAAGUGCUCUGUGGUGCAGGAGGAGCAGCUCAGCUCUUCUGAUGCCCAGCUUGGAGGGAAAUCAAACCAGUUAC